rnacentral:rRNA from 1 species
UAGGGAAUUUUCGUCAAUGGGGGAGCCCUGAACGAGCAAUGCCGCGUGUGUGAAGAAGAUCUUCGGAUCGUAAAGCACUGUUGUAAGUGAAGAAUGCCAUAUAGAGGAAAUGCUAUGUGGGUGACGGUAGCUUACCAGAAAGCCACGGCUAACUACGUGCCAGCAGCCGCGGUAAUACGUAGGUGGCAAGCGUUAUCCGGAAUCAUUGGGCGUAAAGGGUGCGUAGGUGGCACGAUAAGUCUGAAGUAAAAGGCAACAGCUCAACUGUUGUAUGCUUUGGAAACUGUCGAGCUAGAGUGCAGAAGAGGGCGAUGGAAUUCCAUGUGUAGCGGUAAAAUGCAUAGAUAUAUGGAGGAACACCAGUGGCGAAGGCGGUCGCCUGGUCUGUAACUGACACUGAUGCACGAAAGCGUGGGGAGCAAAUAGGAUUAGAUACC